UAUUACACACAUUAGUUUAGGGGGAUUGUAUUCAUCCGUGCCCCAUCGUGGAAAGUUCACCCUGUCAUUUCCCACUGAUGAAAUUGUGCCAAUGUACUAGACCUGGGAAAGGUGAAUCACCCCAAUUCCACCAGUGCAUCUGGACGUGGACUUACACUCCCAUACUAUACAGAUAAAUACGUGCAAAAUAGUCAUCCAUUAACCCCUCUGCCUUAGGAAAAGUACUUGCCCUUGCUCCGUUCACUUUUCCUCAAGACCAGAGGAAAGAAAGAUUGACUGUCUUACAGGAAGAAUGUGUCAAUCAUAACAGUCUACAGUUAAAGCUUUAUCCUUUACUCCACUAGAAGAGCCUAAUUCAAUGAUACAAUUACGUGUAUUUGUCAAAGUUUCCCUGCUCCUUAGCUUCCCCGAGAAGAAAUGUACCCACCCUACUUUCCUUCAUGGGAGAGUUUCUCCUCCCCUUAGGUCUCAACUGGGGUAGUUACCCUUGUUCAUGUCCCACCAGGCAAGUGUACCUAUCCUAUCCCAUCCCUUCAGGGGAAGUGUAACCCUUCCUAUUGGUCCUAUUAUAUUGUACCCACCCUCCAGUCCCACCAAAGGAAGUGUAUCCACCCUCAGGUCCCAUCAUGGAAGUUUGCCCACCACUACGUCCCACCCUCAGAUCUCACUAGGGAAAUUGUACCCACCCUCAGAUCUCACCAGGGAAAGUGUACCCACCCUCAGGUCUACCAAGGGAAGUGUACCCACUCAGGUACACCAGGGGAAGUACCCACCCUCAGGCCCAAGGAAACUUUCCCACCCUUAGGGUCUACCAGCAGAAGUGUAUCCACCUCUGGAUUCCAUCUGGGGAAGCGUAUUCAUCCUCAGGUCUCAGCUGGGAAAUGUGUUCACCCUUGAUUUCCACCAAAGAAAAUACAUCUGCCCUCAAACCCCACCGGGGUUGUGAUCCUCUAGGUCCCAAUAGAAGUGUACCCUACCCCUUAGGUCUAACCAGGGGAACUAUACCCUACCCCACAAAGGUGUAACUCAUCUCUUGGAGUCCCAAGAAGUGUACCCCUCCCUAAGGUCAACCAGGGAAGCUACCCCACCCCAUAGGUCCAAUCAGUGAGGUGUACCCCACCCCAUAGGUCCAAUCAGGGAGGUGUACCCCACCCCAUAGGUCCAAUCAGGGAGGUGUACCCCACCCCAUAGGUCCAAUCAAUGAGGUGUACCCCAUCCCCUGGGUCCAAUCAGUGAGGUGUACCCCACCCCUUAGGUCCAAUCAGUGAGGUGUACCCCACCCCUUAGGUCCAAUCAGGGAAGUGUACCCCACCCCUUAGGUCCAAUCAGGAAGGUGUACUCCACCCCUUAGGUCCAAUCAGGGAGGUGUACCCCACCCCUUAGGUCCAAUCAGGGAGGUGUACCCCACCCCUUAGGUCCAAUCAGGGAGGUGUACCCCACCCCUUAGGUCCAAUCAGGGAGGUGUACCCUAGCCCUUAGGUCCAAUCAGGAAGGUGUACUCUACCCCUUAGGUCCAAUUAGGGAGGUGUACCCCAGCCCUUAGGUCCAAUCAGGGAGGUGUACCCCACCCCUUCGGUCCAAUCAGGGAGGUGUACCCCACCCCUUCGGUCCAAUCAGAGAGGUGUACCCCACCCCUUAAGUCUAAUCAAGAAGGUGUACCCCACUCCUUUGGCCCCAUCAGAAAUGUAUCCCACCCUUUCAGUCCCACCAAUGGAGGUGUACCUCACCCAUUAGGUCCCACAAGAUUAGGGGUACCCCACCCCUAAGGUCCCACCAAGGGAGGUGUACCUCACCCAUUAGGUCCCACAAGAUUAAGUGUACCCCACCCCUAAGGUCCCACAAGAUAAUUGCAAUCCACUUUUUAGGUCCCACCAGGGGAGAUGUACCUCACCCCUUAGGUCCCACCAGGGGAGGUGUACCUUACCCCUUAGGUCCCACCAGGGGAGGUGUACCUCACCCCUUAGGUCCCACCAGGGGAGGUGUACCUCACCCCUUAGGUCCCACCAGGGGAGGUGUACCUCACCCCUUAGGUCCCACCAGGGGAGGUGUACCCCACCCCUAAGCUCCCACAAGGGGAGGUGUACCCCACCCCAAAGCUCCCACCAGGGAAGGUGUACCCCACCCCUAAGCUCCCACAAGGGGAGGUGUACCCCACCCCUAAGCUCCCACAAGGGGAGGUGUGCCCCUUCCCUUAGGUCCUUUAGGGGAGGUGUUCUUUCCCAUAGAUUCCACAAAGGAAAGUGCACUCCUAAUGGGUUCCACCAGGGAAGUGUACAUGAUCUGUCCUUCAGUUCAACAGGGGAGGUGUACCCACCUCAGUUAUUUUUGUUAGAUUCCAACAGGGCAGGGGCACUCAUUUAAAUCCCACUUGAAGUGUACCCACCCUCAAAAGCCAUCAGAGGAAGUGCUCCCUUCCUCGACCCACACAUCGGUCCCAUUAGGGGAAGUAAAAUCUUCCUCAGGUCCCACCAGUGGAAAUUACCCUUCAGACCCCAUCUGGGGAAGUGUAUGCUAUAAUGGCAUCCCACUAGGGGAAGGGCACUCACUUCAUUCACAUCAGGGGAAGUUUAUCCUCUUUAGAUCCAGCGGUGAAAGUGUACCCACUCAUCACACCUGUAGUCUUUCAUUCCGUCUGUCCACUCGCAAACGUAGAUGUGGCACCUGCGCAUUGUUAGUUCGUGAUUGUGUGAAGAUCCACUUUAUAUUUUCAGUGAUAUAUUUGAAUGUUUGUGUAUAAAAAAAAAAAAAAAUGUAUAUGAACCGCAUACAAGAUUUGCAUCGAUAA